GCCUGGGUGACUCAGUCGGUUAAGUAUCUGACUUCAGUUCAGGUCAUGAUCUCAUGGUUCGUGAGUUCAAGUCUCAUGUCAGGCU
rnacentral:tRNA from 1 species